GUCACGCCUACAAACCGGAACCAAGUGAGGAGAUAUUGGUGUAAUUAUUAUGGCCACUCCACGUAGCUAAAAGGAGAUUUAUUUAGUGGCGUAACUUACAAGUUAAGGGAUCGGUAGGUCGCGGGGUCUGGGGAAGGUGUAUCGCAGUCCAGCGGUGUUCUCUGGAGCUCUGCUUGGCCCACCUUCACCGUCCAAGGUCCGGGAACCAAGUGAGAGCACCGCCCAUCCAGAUCUCAGGUCUCCAGGCGCCUCCCUUGGCCCCGCCUUGUAGGCGUGACGGUUGCCGAAGUCUCCAUGGGGGUUGAAACUUCAGAUCAAAGCUGGAAUGGCUACCCACUACAGGUGACUCCUGAGAAAGGGUCAUUCAUCCCCCAAAGGGGUUGAGAACCACUGACCUAGCCUAGAGCAUUCAUCUCUAUUGACGAGUUUCACAGUACUGGAAGAUAUAUCUAUGCUAUCAAAGGAGAAAGGGCUCAGGGAACUAUGCAGAAGAGGAGUUGGAAAGAAUACAAGAGUCAGAGAGGAUAGAGACAGACCUUCUAAACACAGAAUGGCUGAGGCGCACAUGAACUCAGAGAGCCUGUGGCAGCAUGUACAAGGCCUGCACAGGUCGACACCAGAUAGGAUCCUAGAGCUGAGAGAAGAGGACACAUGCCGCCACCCCUAACCCAGAAGUUAUCUCCAGUUGACAAUUACUUAAAAAUGAAAAAAAUAGUUUUCCUCAAUAGAGUCUCCCUGGGGAAACAAGGGUAGGCUCCAUGUCCAGCAGUAGACGAUCAACACAAAAUAAUUUUAGUGCCAUCUUUGCGGUUUCUUAGUUUCAUAGUGUUGUGUAAGGGCUUUUUUUUUUUUAACCUUUUAGUUCCUUUGUGUAUAUAUUUUGGCCUCCAUUUUUGUGUUGUUAUGGGAUUCCUAUGUUUUCUGAACUUGUGUGACCCUAUAUCUAUAUGUAAUUCUUUUCCUUUUUCUUUGGCCUCUUUUUGUUUGUUUGUUUGUUUGUUUGUUUUGUCCUGUUCUGAUUUGCUUGUUUUGUUUUAUCUUAUUUUAUUUCCUUAUUAU